GACAAUGGAGGAGACUCUGAUCCAGCCAUGCCGCGUGCAGGAAGAAUGCCCUAUGGGUAGUAAACUGCUUUUAUACGGGAAGAAAAAGGGCUACGUGUAGCCUGUUGACGGUACCGUAAGAAUAAGGACCGGCUAACUCCGUGCCAGCAGCCGCGGUAAUACGGAGGGUCCGAGCGUUAUCCGGAAUUAUUGGGUUUAAAGGGUCCGUAGGCGGGCGAUUAAGUCAGUGGUGAAAGUCUGCAGCUCAACUGUAGAAUUGCCUUUGAUACUGGUCGUCUUGAGUUAUGGUGAAGUUGGCGGAAUAUGUAGUGUAGCGGUGAAAUGCAUAGAUAUUACAUAGAACACCGAUUGCGAAGGCAGCUGACUAACCAUAUACUGACGCUGAUGGACGAAAGCGUGGGGAGCGAACAGGAUUAGAUACCCUGGUAGUCCACGCCGUAAACGAUGGAUACUAGCUGUCCGGCACCUUGAGUGCUGGGCGGCCAAGCGAAAGUGAUAAGUAUCCCACCUGGGGAGUACGUUCGCAAGAAUGAAACUCAAAGGAAUUGACGGGGGCCCGCACAAGCGGUGGAGCAUGUGGUUUAAUUCGAUGAUACGCGAGGAACCUUACCAGGGCUUAAAUGCAUAUUGACAGGGGUAGAGAUGCCUUUUCCUUCGGGCAAUUUGCAAGGUGCUGCAUGGUUGUCGUCAGCUCGUGCCGUGAGGUGUCAGGUUAAGUCCUAUAACGAGCGCAACCCCUACCGUUAGUUGCCAGCAUGUCAUGAUGGGGACUCUAACGGGACUGCCGGUGCAAACCGUGAGGAAGGUGGGGAUGACGUCAAAUCAUCACGGCCCUUACGUCCUGGGCCACACACGUGCUACAAUGGCAGGUACAGAGAGCAGCCACGUCGCAAGGCGGAGCGAAUCUACAAAACCUGUCACAGUUCGGAUCGGGGUCUGCAACUCGACCCCGUGAAGCUGGAAUCGCUAGUAAUCGGAUAUCAGCCAUGAUCCGGUGAAUACGUUCCCGGGCCUUGUACACACCGCCCGUCAAGCCAUGGAAGCCGGGAGUGCCUGAAGUCCGUCACCGUAAGGAGCGGCCUAGGGCAAGAUCGGUAACUAGGGCUAAGUCGUAACAAGGUAGCCGUACCGGAAGGUGCGGCUGGAACACCUCCUUUCUAGA
rnacentral:rRNA from 1 species